UACGUAGGGUGCAAGCGUUAAUCGGAAUUACUGGGCGUAAAGCGUGCGCAGGCGGUGAUGUAAGACAGUUGUGAAAUCCCCGGGCUUAACCUGGGAACUGCAUUGGUGACUGGCAGGCUUUGAGUGUGGCAGAGGGAGGUAGAAUUCCACGUGUAGCAGUGAAAUGCGUAGAGAUGUGGAGGAAUACCGAUGGCGAAGGCAGCCUCCUGGGCCAACACUGACGCUCAUGCACGAAAGCGUGGGGAGCAAACAGG
rnacentral:rRNA from 1 species